rnacentral:rRNA from 1 species
UACGUAGGGGGCAAGCGUUAUCCGGAUUUACUGGGUGUAAAGGGAGCGUAGACGGCAUAGCAAGUCUGAAGUGAAAGCCCGUGGCUCAACCGCGGAACUGCUUUGGAAACUGUUAAGCUGGAGUACUGGAGAGGCAAGCGGAAUUCCUAGUGUAGCGGUGAAAUGCGUAGGUAUUAGGAGGAACACCAGUGGCGAAGGCGGCUUGCUGGACAGAGACUGACGUUGAGGCUCGAAAGCGUGGGGAGCAAACAGG